rnacentral:rRNA from 1 species
AGUGAACGCUGGCGGUAGGCCUAACACAUGCAAGUCGAACGGCAGCACAGUAAGAGCUUGCUCUUACGGGUGGCGAGUGGCGGACGGGUGAGGAAUACAUCGGAAUCUACUUUUUCGUGGGGGAUAACGUAGGGAAACUUACGCUAAUACCGCAUACGACCUACGGGUGAAAGCAGGGGAUCUUCGGACCUUGCGCGAGUGAAUGAGCCGAUGUCGGAUUAGCUAGUUGGCGGGGUAAAGGCCCACCAAGGCGACGAUCCGUAGCUGGUCUGAGAGGAUGAUCAGCCACACUGGAACUGAGACACGGUCCAGACUCCUACGGGAGGCAGCAGUGGGGAAUAUUGGACAAUGGGCGCAAGCCUGAUCCAGCCAUACCGCGUGUGUGAAGAAGGCCUUCGGGUUGUAAAGCCCUUUUGUUGGGAAAGAAAAGCAGCAGGUUAAUACCCCGCUGUUCUGACGGUACCCAAAGAAUAAGCACCGGCUAACUUCGUG